GUGCUUGCUUCAGCAGUACAUACACUGAAAUCAGAACUGUGAAGAGAAGAUUGGCAUGACUCCUGUGUAAGAAACAGCACACAAUUUAUGAAAUGUUCUGUGUUUUU
rnacentral:snRNA from 1 species